rnacentral:rRNA from 1 species
UACGAAGGGGACUAGCGUUGUUCGGAAUUACUGGGCGUAAAGGGCGCGUAGGCGGCCCGCUAAGUCGAACGUGAAAUCCCCGAGCUCAACUCGGGAACUGCGUCCGAUACUGGCGGGCUUGAAUCCGGGAGAGGGAUGCGGAAUUCCAGGUGUAGCGGUGAAAUGCGUAGAUAUCUGGAGGAACACCGGUGGCGAAGGCGGCAUCCUGGACCGGCAUUGACGCUGAGGCGCGAAAGCUAGGGGAGCAAACGGG